rnacentral:misc_RNA from 1 species
GUAUUCUUUUUUAUAAUGAUCCAUUCAAAGACAAAAAGAUGUGUGUAUAAGACAUAGACAAGGAAGGUACGAACAUUGUCCGUACGAUCCUCAAGUCUACGGAAGUGCACAGGUGAAUGGAGAUUAGGAUUUAUAAUGUGGAGUGCACGUAUACUCGGAUAGAGCCAGCACAUCCAGGUAAUCACUAAUGAUCCUUCCGCAGGUUCACCUACGGAAA